rnacentral:lncRNA from 1 species
UAUGUUUUUGUGAUAAUACGCAAAGGGGAACUCUAUGUGGUACUAAGUCAUUCAUGUAUCUUACUAUGCAAUGUAUAAAGUGUAAAAUAUUGUAGUAAAUCAUUAUGUAUAAAUAAUUAUGGUGUGUUUAACCUUCUUUUAUUAAUUACUACGUAUUUUCUACACUCACAGUAUUUCUCAGGUCGCUAUAUAAUCAAAUUAAAUCAGUAAAAC